UUACACAUCUCCUUAAUGAAUGUUAUUUCCGACGCUGGAUGACUGCCGUCCGUUUUUAAGAAACCAAAGAGAAGCGUCCCCUUCAAUAUCCCGAUGACAUAUUGAAUCUCCGGGAGAGAGAUCUCAUAGAAGAACUCCUGUAUGGGAAAAGUGGGGGCAUGGAGGAGGAGGAGGAGGUAAAGCAAGAGGAAGAUGACUUUAGAUGGGCUGAGAUAGCAGAAGAAGUUUGAACCAGGGACCACAAAAGCCUGAGAGGAGAUCACAUCUGCUGUCCAGUGAGGGAAUGAGACCUACAGUCUUACGGGUCAAAGCAGAAGAAUGAACCUCUCCUCUUCUGCCCCAAAUGUGACGCUGCUUCAGUUUGUCCAUGAAGCACAAUCUUUCUCAAAGUUUGGCGAGAGCAGAGUCCUGUUGCUUGUGGCUUUAUCCAGAUCACGUGGAAUGGGUAGCUUUUGACGACCUGCAUCCCCCUAUGGAGAUUGUAACAGUGCAGCUCUGGGUGUCUGGUAGCUUUAUCGUUUCUUUCACAUCACAUGUCUUCCUAACAGGCUUCAUGAUAUAAGCAGACUGAGGUCUUUGUGAAGUUGCACCUGACUCUGGUCGUCAAUCUGCCGUCCUCUGAAGAUCACUGGCCUCAUGCAUCCUGGAUGGAUGUUACUGAUCUCAUGUACCAGAUAGGAAAUGCAAAAUGUGUUCAACAUGUCAGCUCAUUCUCAUUGCAUGUGGGCGAAAUCAUGCUCCAUGAUCACCGUCUCUCUUUUGACAAGCACAAGACUGAAUACAUAAUAAGUGAACGACCAGUAGAGGGAGGGUUU